GACGAACGCUGGCGGCGUGCCUAAUACAUGCAAGUAGAACGCACAGUUUAUACCGUAGCUUGCUACACCAUAGACUGUGAGUUGCGAACGGGUGAGUAACGCGUAGGUAACCUGCCUGGUAGCGGGGGAUAACUAUUGGAAACGAUAGCUAAUACCGCAUAAUAUUGAUUAUUGCAUGAUAAUUAAUUGAAAGGUGCAAUUGCACCACUACCAGAUGGACCUGCGUUGUAUUAGCUAGUAGGUGAGGUAACGGCUCACCUAGGCGACGAUACAUAGCCGACCUGAGAGGGUGAUCGGCCAACCUGGGACUGAGACACGGCCCAGACUCCUACGGGAGGCAGCAGUAGGGAAUCUUCGGCAAUGGACGAAAGUCUGACCGAGCAACGCCGCGUGAGUGAAGAAGGGUUUCGGAUCGUAAAGCUCUGUUGUAAGAGAAGAACGGGUGUGAGAGUGGAAAGUUCACACUGUGACGGUAUCUUACCAGAAAGGGACGGCUAACUACGGG
rnacentral:rRNA from 1 species